rnacentral:misc_RNA from 1 species
GAUGAAGAACGCAGCGAAAUGCGAUAAGUAAUGUGAAUUGCAGAAUUCAGUGAAUCAUCGAAUCUUUGAACGCACAUUGCGCCCCUCGGUAUUCCGGGGGGCAUGCCUGUUCGAGCGUCAUUUGUACCUUCAAGCUCUGCUUGGUGUUGGGUGUUUGUCUCGCCUCUGCGUGUAGACUCGCCUUAAAACAAUUGGCAGCCGGCGUAUUGAUUUCGGAGCGCAGUACAUCUCGCGCUUUGCACUCAUAACGACGACGUCCAAAAGUACAUUUUUACACUCUUGACCUCGGAUCAGGUAGGGAUACCCGCUGAACUUAAGCAUAUCAAUAAGCGGAGGA